rnacentral:rRNA from 1 species
UACGUAGGGUCCGAGCGUUGUCCGGAAUUAUUGGGCGUAAAGGGCUCGUAGGCGGUUUGUCGCGUCGGGAGUGAAAACACCGGGCUUAACUCGGUGCUUGCUUUCGAUACGGGCAGACUUGAGGCAUGCAGGGGAGAACGGAAUUCCUGGUGUAGCGGUGAAAUGCGCAGAUAUCAGGAAGAACACCCGUGGCGAAGGCGGCUCUCUGGGACGGUACUGACGCUGAGACGCGAAAGCGUGGGGAGCGAACAGG